rnacentral:sRNA from 1 species
UCGUCAGUCCUAGGCUAUAUAUGGCCAGCC